AUGAACGCUGGCGGCGUGCCUAAUACAUGCAAUUCGAGCGAACGGACGAGAAGAUUGCUUCUCUGAUGUUAGCGGCGGACGGUUGAGUAACACGUGGAUAACCUACCUAUAAGACUGGGAUAACUUCGGGAAACCGGAGCUAAUACCGGAUAAUAUUUUGAACCGCAUGGUUCAAAAGUGAAAGACGGUCUUGCUGUCACUUAUAGAUGGAUCCGCGCUGCAUUAGCUAGUUGGUAAGGUAACGGCUUACCAAGGCAACGAUGCAUAGCCGACCUGAGAGGGUGAUCGGCCACACUAGAACUGAGACACGGUCCAGACUCCUACGGGAGGCAGCAGUGGGGAAUCUUCGGCAAUGGGCGAAAGCCUGACGGAGCAACGCGGCGUGAGUGAUGAAGGUCUUCGGAUCGUAAAACUAUGUUAUUAGGGAAGAACAUAUGUGUAAGUAACUGUGCACAUCUUGACGGUACCUAAUCAGAAAGCCACGGCUAACUACGUG
rnacentral:rRNA from 1 species